UGGCUCAGGAUGAACGCUGGCGGCGUGCCUAACACAUGCAAGUCGAGCGGAGAUAUUGAGAGAUUCUUUAGAUGAUCUCCUUAUCUUAGCGGCGGAUGGGUGAGUAACACGUGGGUAACCUGCCCUGCACAGGGGGAUAACAGCUGGAAACGGCUGUUAAUACCGCAUAUGCACACGCUGCCGCAUGGCAGAGGGUGGAAAGAUUUAUCGGUGCAGGAUGGGCCCGCGUCGGAUUAACUGGUUGGCAGGGUAACGGCCUACCAAGGUGAUGAUCCGUAGCCGACCUGAGAGGGUGACCGGCCACAUUGGGACUGAGACACGGCCCAAACUCCUACGGGAGGCAGCAGUGGGGGAUAUUGCACAAUGGGCGCAAGCCCUGAUGCAGCGACGCCGCGUGAAGGAAGAAGUAUUUCGGUAUGUAAACUUCUAUCAGCGGGGAAGAAGAUGACGGUACCCGACUAAGAGGCCCCGGCUAACUACGUGCCAGCCGCAGC
rnacentral:rRNA from 1 species